rnacentral:rRNA from 1 species
GCAAGUCGAGCGGUAACAUUUCCAGCUUGCUGGAAGAUGACGAGCGGCGGACGGGUGAGUAACGCGUAGGAAUCUACCUAGUAGUGGGGGAUAGCCCGAGGAAACUCGGAUUAAUACCGCAUACGCUCUACGGAGGAAAGUGGGCUUCGGCUCACGCUAUUAGAUGAGCCUGCGUGGGAUUAGCUAGUUGGUGAGGUAAAGGCUCACCAAGGCGACGAUCUCUAGCUGGUCUGAGAGGAUGAUC